GGGAAUGUGGCUUAGUGGUAGAGUUCUUGCUUCUCAUGCAUGAAGCCCUGAGUUCAAUUCCUCAGUAUCA
rnacentral:tRNA from 1 species